rnacentral:misc_RNA from 1 species
UCUCCGUUGGUGAACCAGCGGAGGGAUCAUUAAAGAGUUGCAAAACUCCCAAACCCUUGUGAACAUACCUUCAACGUUGCUUCGGCGGGUUGGCCCCGGUCUCCUGGGUCCCCUUCCCUCACGGGCGCCCGCCCGAUGUACCUCACUCUUCAACUUUUAUGGCCUAUCUGAGUCUUUGUACUUAAUAAGUCAAAACUUUCAACAACGGAUCUCUUGGUUCUG